UUGGAGUUGUUGGUUGGUGAUAAGACUAUCAUCCUGCGGGAGAGUCUCCCUGCUCUAGUUUUGCGCGUACUGCUAGUUGCUACAGACUUAUGCACAGCUCGAUCGGAGACACGUCUCUCACAUUAUACCUUUGGCUCUGAAAGGAAGAAACUGCAGACAGAGCACAAACUCUACAUAUGGCGAUGAUGAAGGCAACUCGACCAGACUAGUACAUGUGCAGCCAGCCCAGCCACUAGUGAUGUCGUUAUGACGAAUUUGAGCUCUGUGUAGUUCGUCGAGAUGGAAUCUGAAGCUGAAUCAGCCCCUGUUAAAUGCGCGCGCGGAUGAAAUAAAACGGUAUUUUUUUCACCAUACUUAUUGUACUCCUUUUUUAUGGUUGCGUUAUGUAUUCCUAUUUUUGAUUUGUCCAUGUUCCUAGUUCUGAUUAUGGUGCAUCUGCACAGAGUGUACCGAAAAUUCGGGAAAGCCUAGUUUUGUCUAUUGAAGUACAUGCAUCAAUAGAAUAUGGUUGUCUCGUGUGUGUCCCAUAAGGCCAUGUAGCGGUGACGCUUAGUCCUCAUGAGCCUCUGGCGGCAGGGUGGGAUUCUAGGCAACCAAAGAGUGGAUAAGGGAAUGUGCUCUAGGAGGGUAUUUUCUGUUUGUCCUUUUGUUCUUAGGGGGAGAAAUUUUUGAUCUAUUCAUAAUCAAUCAUGUUAGUACAGAAAACAUCAGAGGUAACAAAAACUACAAUCUGGUCCAUGGACCACCUAUCGUCGACUACAAGCACAGGCGCGAGCUGAAGGUGCGCCACCGUCAUCACCCCUCCUUCAGCAGAGUUUGAAGAUAAGGCCUAGCCUAGACAAGGUAGCAAGCGACAGAAGAAGAUAAGGGACUAGGAGUUUGGCCAAGCACAGUUUGAAGGAGAAGUCAUUCUGUUAGCUAACCGUGACCAAGUCUCUUCAGGGCCUGCUUUUUAUAGAGAACCACAAAUAGAAAGUUAGAAAUGCAUCUUCUCAACUUCCUUCCUUCCUCUCUCUCUCAGUGGCGGAGCUUGAAGUCCAUUGUUGGGCGGGCUAGGUGGCCCAAACAGAAGGAAAUAGCCUAUGGGCUAGUGUUCAUUGAUCCACAUGUUCCUCUUCUCCAUUUCUUCAAGGAUGCUCAUUAUCACCAUGAAAUCUUCAUCUUCAUCGCCAUCAAUGUCCGAAUCCAAUGAUUUGAUGAACUCCUUUGAAAAUGAACUCAUCAAUCUCCAUGUGAUCAAACCCAUCCUUCGAUGAACCCAUCAUUUGCCUACAAAUGUGCAAAAGAACAUAACAAAAACAGCUCCAACAUUUCCACAAACACAUGGUGGACGAUGUGUAUGUCAGACGGAGUAGGACGUACCAGUGUGGCGUGUGGGGCAGUGACCAUGUCCAAUACGGCAAGGACGUCCAGGGACGAUGGGGGGUGGUGGUGGAGCUGCCAGUUGGUGUUGGACUAGGACGGCGUCAAAUAUAGGGUAGGAGAGUAAGAAACGGGCAACACGCGGCACAAACGAGGAUGUGUGUGUGGUGAUCUUUAAGAUCAGAUGUGCCUUUUGGCAAGCUUUUGUCCUUCAGUUCUCCAUGGUCUGCAUCUCUAGCAAAAAUUCAAAUUUGUGUCAUAGCCUCAUAGGAUAUCUCUGCUGAUUCAGACUUGCAGCAUACAACCUUCAAGGAAAUUCUUGUGUAUUUUUUUUAAAAAAAAAGAAGGAAAAAUGGUGCUGCACUUUGAUGAGUGAAAUCUGAAGAUGUUAACUGGAAGUAUGAGAACAGUUUGCUGUGUGAAUAGUGGCUUCAAGCGAACACAAACAGCAGCACGCAUCAGCCUUUCUUUGUUCUGCCAGUUUGCAGAAGCAAAUGCAGUGGCGCUCUUCAUUUUCGAAAUGCUUCCUGAAACAUCCACUAGUCUCUAAACAAUAUGUUAGACAGAAACUGGGGCACAAGAACAAAUCAGUAAACCGUAGCAUAGCACUAGCAGGAACCGUGUUACGCAGUCUGAAACUCUGAACUAGAACAAACUGUUGGGUGUGGUCGAGUGACAAUCAGGGGGUCGCCUAGCACGCCAGGAACGAGAAAAGAAUCGGGAGAACAUGCACCCAACUGGAGUGCCCUCGUAUAAAAAAUAGAAAAUAUUGUAAGCAUUUAAAAGCCGUGAGGACCAGCCCAACCAUGAGAGCUCGGAGGCCGAAAGUUCUUGGGAGUUGCCGGGGGUGAUUAUUUAUCGCUAAUCAUGUACUCGUAGACAAUAGUAUAUCAAAUCGAGUACUAUAGGGCAACUUGGAGUUGUUGGAUGGAUACAUUAUCGCUGCUCUGCUUUUGAACAUCUUGCCUAUACUCGUUGCUACGAACUUCUGCCCGUCCUGGAGACAUCUCUCCUGUUUGGCUCGGAGAAGAAGAAACUCCAUACUAUCUGUGUGGGCGUGGCUCAGGGUGGACACGGUCCGAGCCGGUCCGGUCCCGGUCCGAGCCGGCGUUUGGACCGGCCGCCGGCAGUCCGGUCCGGACCGGACCGAGCAACGUCGCGGUCCUGUUUUCAGGGACCGGACCGGCAAUGGCCGAGCUCGGGCCGGACCGAGAGGACCGUGAGGACCGGCCAAGACAUGGGCAGGGCGCGCUCUGGAGCACCGGCGACGGCUCAUCUGAGAGAUAUCUUGCUAGAGGAAGCGCAACUCAUCGAAAAGAUGUCUGGGAGCUUGAGAAGAAUCAGAGGAAGCUACAUGACCAAGACGAACACCAGAGGGAGCUCAUCAGCGACGAAUCUGACAUGACAGCCGGUGGACAGAGAUGAAAGGAACGAUGGCUGAUGCGGCUAUGUAGGACAUCCCUCGUCGAUUUCUUUGACGGAGAUGAUAGAUCCCACAACGGAGGAACUCCUAGACAUGAUGGUUCAUCGCUGGAAGGCUGGUGGCCUUGGUGUUAUGCGGUGGUGCUCUGCUUGUGCGUUGGACGGCGGCGGCCGCGGCACAGGUGCGUGGCCCUGUCACGCCUUGGCCGCCACGCACUCGCCAAGCCCCCGCCAAGCCCCCGACAUGCCCCCAGCAAGCCCCUGGCAAGCCUCCAGCCACGCCCCCGCCCCGCUCUGGCCAUGGCCACGCCAUGCCGCCGGCUGCUUCUUCGGUCCGCUCGGUCAGCCCGAGCUUUAACCGGACCGGACCGGUCGAUUUUCGGUCUUGUUUCGAGGGACCGGACCGGCCGAUUUUUUUGUCGGGCCAGGACCGAGCCAGACCGGACCGAGCGGGCCACGAGCCGGUCCAAAAAACCGCUCGUGCCGUCCACCGUGAGGCGUGGCGACGAUGAAGCUGGUUCGACCAGAUUAGUAGAGGUACGCACAGUUCCUACUCAUCCUCUUCUGCUCCACCUUUUCCAUCUUGACAGAUUAGUAGAGAUCUACUGAUUAGUUUUUCAGCCAGCAGUGUGCGAUGUUAACCACCCCGAUGAAUCUGAGCUCAGUGCGGUCGGUUGCGAGUUGAGACGGGAUCUACAAACUGAAUCUAUCUCCCCGUUAAAAGACUUACAGAAGAAAAGAAAUGAUUUAUUUAAUGUGCAAGGAUGGAAUUGUUAUCAACAUUCAAGGUUGAUUUCUGGAAAUGUUUUGGCUGAAAUACUGAGGUCAAGCUGCACCGACUAAAAUGGCUGAGGCUGCUCUUCUUCUUGUCACAACAAAGAUUGGAAUAGCGGUGGCAGCAGAAACGCUUCACCACGCUAGAUCUGUUGCAAAACUGUCAGAGAACAUGACACUGAUAAGGAAUGACCUGGAGCUUAUUCAAGCAUUUCUCAAGGAGAUUGGAAGAAAAGCUUCGACAGAUGGAGUCACCGAAACAUGGAUAGGGCAAGUCUGAAGAUUGGCGUAUGAUAUGGAAGACAUCAUAGAUCAAUAUAUGUAUGUUGUUGGCAGACACCAUCAGAAAUGAUCAUGGUGGAGUUCUGGACUCACUACUUAAAAAAAAGUGACUUCGCCAUCUUGAAGGGGAUAGUCGACAGGGCUUGGGCAAAGUUCAUCAAGGUGACUCCAGGCAAAUGGCGACAAAAGUUGUUUUGGUUUCGACCCAAGACCCUGAAGCGCAGGCGCCGGAGACUAAAGCGUGUGCAUACUACGUUUGCGAGAUCAUUCACAUGAUGGCGUCCGAAAUGAGCAAAUCUGAUAGACAGCAAUGG